rnacentral:rRNA from 1 species
CACGUAGGGCGCAAGCGUUGUCCGGAAUUACUGGGCGUAAAGCGCACGUAGGCGGAUCAGUAAGUCAGGGGUGAAAUCCCGGGGCUCAACCCCCGGAACUGCCUUUGAUACUGCUGGUCUGGAGGUCGAGAGAGGUGAGUGGAAUUCCGAGUGUAGAGGUGAAAUUCGUAGAUAUUCGCAAGAACACCAGUGGCGAAGGCGGCUCACUGGCCCGAUACUGACGCUGAGGCACGAAAGCGUGGGGAAGCAAACAGGG